AUGACUCUCAAAGGGGAGUAGCGGGUGGAAAUGGUUAACCAUUUCCAUAAUAAAAGUCGUCAUUACAUGGCUCUUGCCAUCGGCUUUAUUGACAGUAAACUGUUCAGCGAGACCUUUGCCUAACUA
rnacentral:misc_RNA from 1 species